GGAGAGAUGGCAGAGUGGUCGAUUGCACCGGUCUUGAAAACCGGCAUGGCGCAAGUCAUCUAGGGUUCGAAUCCCUAUCUCUCCGCCA
rnacentral:tRNA from 1 species